UACAGAGACUGCAAGCGUUAUUCGGAUUCACUGGGCGUAAAGGGUGCGCAGGCGGCCAAGUGUGUUAGGCGUGAAAGCCCGGGGCUUAACCCCGGAAUUGCACCUAAAACUACAUGGCUAGAGCAUUGGAGAGGGUAGCGGAAUUCACGGUGUAGCAGUGAAAUGCGUAGAUAUCGUGAGGAACACCAGAGGCGAAGGCGGCUACCUGGACAAUUGCUGACGCUCAGGCACGAAAGCGUGGGGAGCAAAAGGG
rnacentral:rRNA from 2 species